rnacentral:misc_RNA from 1 species
UAAAUUAUGUUUUUCAGAUAAACGACAAUAGUUAUGUGAGGAGAAUGGCCUGUGGCUUGAGAGAGCCAGUAAAAGAAAAAGAAAAGAGAGAACAGUGGAAAGGACAGAGAAAGAGAAAAGUAUGCAAUCAGGAAACAGGAAACAGAGGAAGAGAGAAAGACAAUUUGAUAAUGGGAGCGUAGAGAGUGAAGAAGAAUACAAUGAAAGAUUGGACAGCGGAAUAGAGAAUCAGAACAUAGGAAAAUCACACAACGAGACAGUAGAAAGCGAAGAAGAUAACGACGAAAGAUUGGAAAGGGGGAUAUGGAAUCAGACAAUAGGACAAACACGUAAUGAGAGCGUAGAGAGCGAUGAAGAAAAUGAUGAAAGAUUAGACAGGGGAAUAUGGAAUCAGACAACAGGCGACAAUGGGAAUAAUGAGAGAGUAGAGAGCGAUGAAGAAAACGAUGAGAAACAGGUAAUGUAGAAAGCGAAGAAGAAUACGACGGAAGAUGGGACAAAGGAAUAGGGAGCCAGAAAAUAAGACAAUCAGAUAACGAGAGCGUACGAAGCGAAGAAGAAAACUUUGAAAUAUGGGGGAAAUGGGGGAACAGGUAACAAAUAUAUACAAAAUAGAAUUCAAAUUUCAAAGAUUGUUUGUUACAACAUAACAAGGGUACAAAGCAAACAGACAAUGACACUUUAGAAAACGAAGAAGAAGACGAGGAAGGAAGGAGCAAAGGCAUGGGAAAACAG